UUUUCUGAGAAGUUAUUUAUCAAUUAUCAUUAUUGAAAAUUCAUAGUACAUUGCAGUGGUAUCAGAGAGAAAAUGGUUGACCGAGUUCCUCUACUUUCAAAGGAUGAUUCUGAUUCAUUAGUCAGAACAACAGAAUCUGGGGACAUUCUUUGGAGAUCUCGCAAAAGAUCUCAUGGACAUCAGAGCUUUAAGGCUCAAAGCAGGACACGGACCAGGACUGCACACACAAUAU